GAGGAAUAUUGGUCAAUGGGCGGGAGCCUGAACCAGCCAAGUCGCGUGAAGGAAGAAGGAUCUAUGGUUCGUAAACUUCUUUUGCAGGGGAAUAAAGUGCAGGACGUGUCCUGUUUUGUAUGUACCCUGAGAAUAAGGAUCGGCUAACUCCGUGCCAGCAGCCGCGGUAAUACGGAGGAUCCGAGCGUUAUCCGGAUUUAUUGGGUUUAAAGGGUGCGUAGGUGGUUUGAUAAGUCAGCGGUGAAAGUUUGCAGCUUAACUGUAAAAAUGCCGUUGAAACUGUCGGACGUUAGUGUUAAUGAGGUGGGCGGAAUGCGUGGUGUAGCGGUGAAAUGCAUAGAUAUCACGCAGAACUCCGAUUGCGAAGGCAGCUUACUAACCGACAACUGACACUGAAGCACGAAAGCGUGGGGAUCAA
rnacentral:rRNA from 1 species